GACGAACGCUGGCGGCGUGCCUAAUACAUGCAAGUCGAGCGGGCCUCCGGAGGUGUUUGCACCUCCGGAAGGCCAGCGGCGGACGGGUGAGUAACACGUGGGCAACCUGCCUUUGAGGCCGGGAUAACACCGGGAAACCGGUGCUAAUACCGGAUACGUCCUCUUUCGCGCCUGCGAGAGGGGAGAAAGACGGUCUUUAAGGCCGUCGCUCAAAGAGGGGCCCGCGGCGCAUUAGCUGGUUGGUGGGGUAAGGGCCUACCAAGGCGACGAUGCGGUGCCGACCUGAGAGGGUGAUCGGCCACACUGGGACUGAGACACGGCCCAGACUCCUGCGGGAGGCAGCAGUAGGGAAUCAUCCGCAAUGGGCGAAAGCCUGACGGUGCAACGCCGCGUGAGUGAGGAAGGUUUUCGGAUCGUAAAGCUCUGUUGUGAGGGAAGAACAGCUUCCGGAGGAAAUGCCGGAGGUUUGCCGGUACCUCACCAGAAAGCCCCGGCUAACUACGUGCCAGCAGCCGCGGUAAUAC
rnacentral:rRNA from 1 species